rnacentral:rRNA from 1 species
AUGGGGUUGCAAGAGAUGGCGAAGCUGCAGCUGCACCACCAUGGCGGCAUGCGAGCUGCUGGCAACGACGGCGACCAGGCAGCAGGCGGCGGCGGGGGCAGGAAGAAGGCUGCGUCGGCGGCGGUCUGGAUCGCCGUGCCGCUCAGGCCCGUCAAGGUCGGCCGCCGAAGACACGGCGGAGAGACAGAGGAGGAGCAGAAAGAAGAGGAAAAAGAGGAAGAAGAGGUGACGACGCCGAGAGGGAAAGGGUGCACGAUACCCUGGGAGGCGGCGACGUGCCCGCCGGCGCCGAAGAAGGCGAGGACGGCGGUGGCGAUCUUCGCCGACCGCCGGUGCAACCGCGACGACGGCGAGGCGGCGGAGUACUUCCGCGUGCCGGCGGACCUGGACUCCGUGUUCGCCGUCAGCCGGGUGGCCGAGGCGAACUGA